GACGAACGCUGGCGGCGUGCCUAACACAUGCAAGUCGAACGGAAAGGCCCUGCUUUUGUGCGGUGCUCGAGUGGCGAACGGGUGAGUAACACGUGAGUAACCUGUCCCUGACCUUGGGAUAACUUCAGGAAACUGGGGCUCAUACCGGAUAGGAGCUCUUGCUGCAUGGUGGGGGUUGGAAAGUUUCGGCGGUUGGGGAUGGACUCGCGGCCUAUCGGCUUGUUGGUGGGGUAGUGGCUUACCAAGGUUUGGACGGGUAGCCGACCUGGGAGGGGGACCGGCCACACUAGGACUGAGAUACGGCCCAGACUCCUACGGGAGGCAGCGGUGGAGAGUGUUGCACAGUAGGCGGGAGCCUGGUGCGACAACGCCGCGUGCGGGAAGACGGGCUUCGGGUUGUGAACCACUUUCGCCUGAGACGAGGCGUGAGUGACGGUAAUGGGUGAAGAAGCACCGGCUAACUACGUG
rnacentral:rRNA from 1 species